AGUGAACGCUGGCGGUAGGCCUAACACAUGCAAGUCGAACGGCAGCACAGUAAGAGCUUGCUCUUACGGGUGGCGAGUGGCGGACGGGUGAGGAAUACAUCGGAAUCUACUUUUUCGUGGGGGAUAACGUAGGGAAACUUACGCUAAUACCGCAUAUGACCUACGGGUGAAAGCAGUGGAUCUUCGCACCUUGCGCGACUGAAUGAGCCGAUGUCGGAUUAGCUAGUUGGCGGGGUAAAGGCCCACCAAGGCGACGAUGCGUAGCUGGUCUGAGAGGAUGAUCGGCCACACUGGAACUGAGACACGGUCCAGACUCCUACGGGAGGCAGCAGUGGGGAAUAUUGGGCAAUGGGCGCAAGCCUGAUGCAGCCAUACCGCGUGAGUGAAGAAGGCCUUCGGGUUGUAAAGCUCUUUUGUUGGGGAAGAAAAGCAGCAGGAUAAUACCCCGCUGUUCUGACGGUACCUAAAGAAUAAGCACCGGCUAACUACGUG
rnacentral:rRNA from 1 species